AGCGUAGACGGCUGUGUAAGUCUGAUGUGAAAACCCGGGGCUCAACCCCGGGACUGCAUUGGAAACUAUGCAGCUAGAGUGUCGGAGAGGUAAGCGGAAUUCCUAGUGUAGCGGUGAAAUGCGUAGAUAUUAGGAGGAACACCAGUGGCGAAGGCGGCUUACUGGACGAUAACUGACGUUGAGGCUCGAAAGCGUGGGGAGCAAACA
rnacentral:rRNA from 1 species